AUGAACGCUGGCGGCGUGCCUAACACAUGCAAGUCGCGCGGCAGCGAGGGGUGCUUGCACCCUGUCGGCGAGCGGCGGACGGCUGAGUAACGCGUGGGAACGUGCCCCAAAGUGAGGAAUAACUGCCCGAAAGGGUAGCUAAUACCGCAUAUUAUCUUCGGAUCAAAGGAUUUAUCCGCUUUGGGAGCGGCUCGCGUCGGAUUAGGUAGUUGGUGAGGUAAUGGCUCACCAAGCCGACGAUCCGUAGCUGGUCUGAGAGGAUGACCAGCCAGACUGGAACUGAGACACGGUCCAGACUCCUACGGGAGGCAGCAGUGAGGAAUCUUCCACAAUGGGCGAAAGCCUGAUGGAGCAACGCCGCGUGCAGGACGAAGGCCUUCGGGUUGUAAACUGCUUUUAUAAGUGAGGAAUAUGACGGUAACUUAUGAAUAAGGAUCGGCUAACUACGUG
rnacentral:rRNA from 1 species